rnacentral:rRNA from 1 species
AACGAACGCUGGCGGCAGGCCUAACACAUGCAAGUCGAGCGCCCCGCAAGGGGAGCGGCGGACGGGUGAGUAACGCGUGGGAACGUGCCCUCUUCUACGGAAUAGCCUCGGGAAACUGGGAGUAAUACCGUAUACGCCCUUAGGGGGAAAGAUUUAUCGGAGGAGGAUCGGCCCGCGUUGGAUUAGGUAGUUGGUGGGGUAAUGGCCUACCAAGCCGACGAUCCAUAGCUGGUUUGAGAGGAUGAUCAGCCACACUGGGACUGAGACACGGCCCAGACUCCUACGGGAGGCAGCAGUGGGGAAUCUUAGACAAUGGGCGCAAGCCUGAUCUAGCCAUGCCGCGUGAGCGAUGAAGGCCUUAGGGUUGUAAAGCUCUUUCAGUGGGGAAGAUAAUGACUGUACCCACAGAAGAAGCCCGGCUAACUCCGUG